rnacentral:tRNA from 1 species
GGAACCGACGAGAUUCGAAUUAACACGUCGGCCUGUCACGCCGAAGAUCGCGAGUUCGAAUCUCGUCGGUUCCGCCA